CGAGAAUAAAGUGCGAAUUAUAGCUUUGUAAUGUUGAGCUUCUUAGAAAACCAUAACGUUUGUAUCUGCCCAUAAAUUCUUCUAGCUAUAGAUCCAUUAAGUUUCCCCUUUACAAAGCAUUUUUCAAACAAAGGACCACGAAUUAACCAACCCACUAGCUAAAGCUAAAGCUUAGCUUAGCAGGGAUCAUCCCCACAGUAUCUAAGCAUGGGAUACCUGAGUUUGAAAAAAUUAAAAAAAAAAAAAAAAAAGAGGAAAAAGAAAAGAGGGGAAAAAAAAUUAAACUACACCCAAAAAAGCAACCUGAGGAAGCAGAUUCAGAAGCCCAACAGAAGCACUUAUUGUACCCUCAUGAAAAAGAACACAAUAUGAACAGCUCUUCAACGUCCUGUUGCUGCACGAGCCCCUC
rnacentral:misc_RNA from 1 species